AUUGAACGCUGGCGGCAGGCCUAACACAUGCAAGUCGAGCGGAUGAGUGGAGCUUGCUCCAUGAUUCAGCGGCGGACGGGUGAGUAAUGCCUAGGAAUCUGCCUGGUAGUGGGGGACAACGUUUCGAAAGGAACGCUAAUACCGCAUACGUCCUACGGGAGAAAGCAGGGGACCUUCGGGCCUUGCGCUAUCAGAUGAGCCUAGGUCGGAUUAGCUAGUAGGUGAGGUAAAGGCUCACCUAGGCGACGAUCCGUAACUGGUCUGAGAGGAUGAUCAGUCACACUGGAACUGAGACACGGUCCAGACUCCUACGGGAGGCAGCAGUGGGGAAUAUUGGACAAUGGGCGAAAGCCUGAUCCAGCCAUGCCGCGUGUGUGAAGAAGGUCUUCGGAUUGUAAAGCACUUUAAGUUGGGAGGAAGGGCAGUAAGUUAAUACCUUGCUGUUUUGACGUUACCAACAGAAUAAGCACCGGCUAACUUCGUGCCAGCCGCCGCCGUAAUAC
rnacentral:rRNA from 1 species